rnacentral:rRNA from 1 species
AGUGGCGGACGGGUGAGUAACACGUAAGAAUUUGCCUUUAGGAGGGGGAUAACAACUGGAAACGGUUGCUAAUACCCCAUACGCUUUCGAGUGAAAUGGAUUUCCGCCUAAAGAGAAGCUUGCGGCUGAUUAGCUUGUUGGUAGGGUAAUGGCCUACCAAGGCGACGAUCAGUAUCUGGUUUGAGAGGACGAUCAGACUCACUGGAACUGAGACACGGUCCAGACUCCUGCGGGAGGCAGCAGUAGGGAAUUUUCCGCAAUGGGCGAAAGCCUGACGGAGCAAUACCGCGUGAGGGAUGACUGCCUAUGGGUUGUAAACCUCUUUUUUCAGGGAGGAACAAAAUGACGUGUACCUGAAGAAUAAGCAUCGGCUAACUCCGUGCCAGCAGCCGCGGUAAGACGGAGGAUGCAAGUGUUAUCCGGAAUUACUGGGCGUAAAGCGUCUGUAGGUGGCUCGAUAAGUCAACUGUUAAAUCUUGAAGCUCAACUUCAAAAUCGCAGUCGAAACUAUCGGACUAGAGUAUAGUAGAGGUAAAGGGAAUUUCCAGUGGAGCGGUGAAAUGCGUAGAUAUUGGAAAGAACACCGAUGGCGAAAGCACUUUACUGGGCUAUUACUGACACUCAGAGACGAAAGCUAGGGUAGCAAAUGGGAUUAGAUACCCCAGUAGUCCUAGCCGUAAACGAUG